GAUGAACGCUAGCGGGAGGCCUAACACAUGCAAGCCGAGCGGUAGAGAUUCUUCGGGAUCUUGAGAGCGGCGUACGGGUGCGGAACACGUGUGCAACCUACCUUUAUCUGGAGGAUAGCCUUUCGAAAGGAAGAUUAAUACUCCAUAAUAUAUUGAUUGGCAUCGAUUGAUAUUGAAAGCUCCGGCGGAUAGAGAUGGGCACGCGCAAGAUUAGCUAGUUGGUGAGGUAACGGCUCACCAAGGCGAUGAUCUUUAGGGGCCUGAGAGGGUGAUCCCCCACACUGGUACUGAGACACGGACCAGACUCCUACGGGAGGCAGCAGUGAGGAAUAUUGGUCAAAUGGGUGCAAGCCUGAACCAGCCAUCCCGCGUGAAGGACGACUGCCCUAUGGGUUGUAAACUUCUUUUGUAUAGGGAUAAACCUACCCUCGUGAGGGUAGCUGAAGGUACUAUACGAAUAAGCACCGGCUAACUCGUGCCAGCAGCCGCGGUAAU
rnacentral:rRNA from 1 species